GAUGAAGAACGCAGCGAAAUGCGAUAAGUAAUGUGAAUUGCAGAAUUCAGUGAAUCAUCGAAUCUUUGAACGCACAUUGCGCCCGCCAGUAUUCUGGCGGGCAUGCCUGUUCGAGCGUCAUUUCAACCAUCAAGCCCUGCUUGCGUUGGGGUCCUGCGGCUGCCCGCAGGCCCUGAAAACCAGUGGCGGGCUCGCUAGUCACACCGAGCGCAGUAAUACAUCUCGCUUUGGGCGUGCGGCGGGUUCUUGCCGUUAAACACCCCCUUUUUACCAAGGUUGACCUCGGAUCAGGUAGGAAUACCCGCUGAACUUAAGCAUAUCAAUAACGGAGGA
rnacentral:misc_RNA from 1 species